rnacentral:misc_RNA from 1 species
GAUGAAGAACGUAGCGAAAUGCGAUAAGUAAUGCGAAUUGCAGAAUUCAGUGAAUCAUCGAAUCUUUGAACGCAUCUUGCGCUCCUUGGUAUUCUGAGGAGCAUGCCUGUUUGAGUGUCAUUAAAUUCUCAACUACACUGACUUUGAAUUGGUGUGGCUUGGAUUUGGGGGGAAAAUUGUUGUGGGCUUUUUGUAUAGUCUGCUCCCCUGAAAUUGAUUAGCGGUACCUUUGUGGAACUGUCUACAGGUGUGAUAAUUAUCUACAUCUUAGACAUCUGCUGGAAUGCUGCUUUCUAAACCUUACUUGUAUUGACAAUCUUGACCUCAAAUCAGGUAGGACUACCCGCUGAACUUAAGCAUAUCAAUAAGCGGAGGA